GACGAACGCUGGCGGCGUGCUUAACACAUGCAAGUCGAACGGAAAGGCCUCUUUCGGGGGGUACUCGAGUGGCGAACGGGUGAGUAACACGUGAGUAACCUGCCCUUGACUUUGGGAUAACUUCAGGAAACUGGGGCUAAUACCGGAUAGGAGCUCCUGCUGCAUAAUGGGGGUUGGAAAGUUUCGGCGGUUGGGGAUGGACUCGCGGCUUAUCAGCUUGUUGGUGGGGUAGUGGCUUACCAAGGCUUUGACGGGUAGCCGGCCUGAGAGGGUGACCGGCCACAUUGGGACUGAGAUACGGCCCAGACUCCUACGGGAGGCAGCAGUGGGGAAUAUUGCACAAUGGGUGGAAGCCUGAUGCAGCAACGCCGUGUGCGGGAUGACGGCCUUCGGGUUGUAAACCGCUUUCGCUCAUGACGAAGCUUUGUGUGACGGUAGUGGGUAAAGAAGCACCGGCUAACUACGUG
rnacentral:rRNA from 1 species